rnacentral:rRNA from 1 species
AUUGAACGCUGGCGGCAUGCUCUACACAUGCAAGUCGAACGGUAACAGGCCGCAAGGUGCUGACGAGUGGCGAACGGGUGAGUAAUGCAUCGGAACGUGCCCAGUCGUGGGGGAUAACUACUCGAAAGAGUAGCUAAUACCGCAUACGAUCUAUGGAUGAAAGCGGGGGACCGUAAGGCCUCGCGCGAUUGGAGCGGCCGAUGUCAGAUUAGGUAGUUGGUGGGGUAAAGGCUCACCAAGCCAACGAUCUGUAGCUGGUCUGAGAGGACGACCAGCCACACUGGGACUGAGACACGGCCCAGACUCCUACGGGAGGCAGCAGUGGGGAAUUUUGGACAAUGGGGGCAAGCCUGAUCCAGCAAUGCCGCGUGCAGGAAGAAGGCCUUCGGGUUGUAAACUUCUUUUGUACGGAACGAAACGGCUCUGGUUAAUACCCGGGGCUAAUGACGGUACCGUAAGAAUAAGCACCGGCGAACUACGU